rnacentral:rRNA from 1 species
AUUGAACGCUGGCGGCAUGCCUUACGCAUGCAAGUCGAACGGCAGGCACGGGAGCAAUCCUGGUGGCGAGUGGCGAACGGGUGAGUAACGUAUCGGAACGUGGCCCAGUGAUGGGGGAUAGCCCGGCGAAAGCCGGAUUAAUACCGCAUACGACCUACGGGUGAAAGCAGGGGAUCGCAAGACCUUGCGUCAUUGGAGCGGCCGAUAUCAGAUUAGCUUGUUGUGGGUAAAGCUACCAAGGCGACGAUCUGUAGCUGGUCUGAGAGGACGACCAGCCACACUGGGACUGAGACACGGCCCAGACUCCUACGGGAGGCAGCAGUGGGGAAUUUUGGACAAUGGGCGCAAGCCUGAUCCAGCCAUGCCGCGUGCGGG